CAACGGUGAAAUACAAAGUAUGAAAAGUGCACGCGUUCAAACGUUGUUGUGACAAACCUGAGUUUUUAACAAGAAAAUAAGUGUACAUACACACACGCACACACACAAGUAAUGCGGCAGACAGUGUUCAUUGCAAGGCAAAGCCAUUAAGACGUGCACGAAGCAAAUUGGUCGUGAAUGCCGGUGUGACGAAGUUACGUGUAUAAACGAGUGAAGCGAAAAUAACUAAAAUAAAUGAAACAAACGCAAAUGAAAAUUUAAAGUAAAUAAGUAAUUUGAAAGACACACGAAGUAGAGAAUAUUAAAGAAAAACGAAAAUAUUCAAAUAAAAACGAAAAUUAUUAGCGCGUGAGCAGGUGAAAAUGGCACAACUGCUAUACUGUGGCCGCCAACAACAACUGCAACGUGCAAAAAUAAUACGAAAACAAUUGCUGGCGUGAAAGUAACGAGUAACGAGCGCCACAGACUCGCGGCAUAAGAAUUAUGUAUGUGAAGUAAUUUGGCGCAAGGGAAAGAAAAUAUAAAAAAAAACCCCAAAAAUCAGCUGUGCAUAAAAAGUGCAUGGAAAAAAGUUUGGGUAACCGCUAAAUUUAAUAAACAUAACAUAAUAAACGACAGCUUGCUGCCACAUCUUGCCGCACAACAAACGAACAUAAAAUCAA